rnacentral:lncRNA from 1 species
UGAAGACUUAUUUAAUUCCAAAUGAAAGGGGGAGCCUUAAUUUCAAAGUUUACUGACUCAUACCUUUCAAUUUUGGAUACACUAAAUGACUAGACAUUUGAAUUCAUUUUGAAACUUUACUACAAGUCAAUUCAUGUCUGAGCAAUUCACUUUAUAAAUACUCAAUAUUUUGUCAUCAUCAAAAAGGAGGAGAUUGUGGAGUGAUUGAUUAAACCUCUAUUUG